rnacentral:misc_RNA from 1 species
GGGAAACAUUUCGACAAAAGAUGAACACAUGGUUAAAUUAUUUUACUUGGAAAACAGGACAACUUGUAUAAUAUAAAAGCCUAAAGCUAUAAGAAUUUCUAACACUAGAUAUAAUCCUACUUAUAUGCACCGUUCCCCUAUUUAUGCUGCCUAUGUGCAAUGAGAAAAAUAAUUCCAAGCCGUGAGACUAUUAUAUAUAGCUCAUUUCUUAUUCACUCAUGUAGGAAAAAUAGAUUACAUAUGCUUGGUUGAAGAAACUCAACACAUAAUAGUUU